UCUACGGGAGGCAGCAGUAGGGAAUCUUCCGCAAUGGACGAAAGUCUGGCGGAGCAACGCCGCGUGAGUGAUGAAGGCUUUCGGGUCGUAAAACUCUGUUGUUGGGGAAGAACAAGUACGAGAGUAACUGCUCGUACCUUGACGGUACCUAACCAGAAAGCCACGGCUAACUACGUGCCAGCAGCCGCGGUAAUACGUAGGUGGCAAGCGUUAUCCGGAAUUAUUGGGCGUAAAGCGCGCGCAGGCGGUUUCUUAAGUCUGAUGUGAAAGCCCACGGCUCAACCGUGGAGGGUCAUUGGAAACUGGGGAACUUGAGUGCAGAAGAGAAAAGCGGAAUUCCACGUGUAGCGGUGAAAUGCGUAGAGAUGUGGAGGAACACCAGUGGCGAAGGCGGCUUUUUGGUCUGUAACUGACGCUGAGGCGCGAAAGCGUGGGGAGCAAACAGGAUUAGAUACCCUGGUAGUCCACGCCGUAAACGAUGAGUGCUAAGUGUUAGAGGGUUUCCGCCCUUUAGUGCUGCAGCUAACGCAUUAAGCACUCCGCCUGGGGAGUACGGUCGCAAGACUGAAACUCAAAGGAAUUGACGGA
rnacentral:rRNA from 1 species